GUAGGGGGUAAGCGUUGUCCGGAUUUAUUGGGCGUAAAGAGCGUGUAGGCGGCCAGACAGGUCCGUUGUGAAAACUCGAGGCUCAACCUCGAGACGUCGACGGAAACCGUCUGGCUAGAGUCCGGAAGAGGAGUGUGGAAUUCCUGGUGUAGCGGUGAAAUGCGCAGAUAUCAGGAAGAACACCUAUGGCGAAGGCAGCACUCUGGGACGGUACUGACGCUGAGACGCGAAAGCGUGGGGAGCGAACAGGAUUAGAUACCCUGGUAGUCCACGCCGUAAACGAUGGAUGCUAGGUGUGGGCGGUGUCGACUCCGUCCGUGCCGAAGCUAACGCAUUAAGUGCCCCGCCUGGGGAGUACGGCCGCAAGGCUG
rnacentral:rRNA from 1 species